rnacentral:misc_RNA from 1 species
GUCGAUAUUUCACAACCAAAUUUUCAAACUACAAGAACUACCAAAUAACAUGAUAAAACUUUAAAAUAUCAAGCAACACACAAGUAGCGCAUGAGUGCAUGACAUUUUUAGUCCCAUAAUUUUAACAAAGGUAAAGUUUUAGACGGACCAAAAUCUUAAAAUUCAAAUAACACUGCACUUGGCUUGAACCGAAAAAAGAAAGGAUUCAGGGAUAGUUAAGAACAACUUUCAGCUCAACUAGGUUUCCUUCGGUGGGGCCUUUUUGGCUGCUUCUGCAGCAGCUUUCUCUGCUUCGAUCUCAGCA